AGCCAUUUGCGUAACUGUCCAGAGGCUUCACAAAGAGCUUCAGUACGCAUCGCAAGGGGCUUGACCGCAUAAGCGCAGUAUUACGGAGAGACUGAGCAGGGUCACCUUUUUCAUCUGUAGAGGAUAAGUGUGUGAUUACCCCUGUUGGGGCUGCUGUGCAUUCAUGGCCUUUUGGCAUUUGUGGACCUGAGGGUGGUUUUUUAUUUUUCUGGCUCUCGUCUCUGUGUUUGAGUCCUCUGCAAGGAGCUGUACUGUUUGCUUGUCCAUCACGGAUAUGACCUUCUUGUAGCCCAGGGCAUGGGCAUGGACACUUGAAUGAGGCACGAGGGCUUUGGAAGCACCUUGCAACAGCAGAGUACAUCUCCUGCCACGUUCCUGUGGCGCGCCAGGCGUCAGCGGUUCCAGUUCGUGAAAUGCUGGAGAUGCUCGGAGCGCAAGAGGAGCUGGGAGCGUGAUGCAUCAAAUUGGUAUGUUAGCUACGUGACCUUGGCUCAGCACAGUAAAUGGAAGCGCUAAGCCUGGAUCGGGAAGGUGAAGAGGAGCCUUAUGCCGGAAGCAAUGUCCUGGCUAGCCUUUGUGUUCCUUGAUAAGGAUGGAACCUGCCUCCCAUCAUUCCCAAGCUAAGU